AUUGAACGCUGGCGGCAUGCCUAACACAUGCAAGUCGAACGGCAGCACAGUAUGUAGCAAUACAUAUGGGUGGCGAGUGGCGGACGGGUGGGUAACGCGUGGGAAUCUGCCCUAUAGUGGGGGACAACCCGACGAAAGUCGGGCUAAUACCGCAUACGCCUACGGGGAAGGCUUCAGCCGCUAUUGGAUGAGCCCGCGUCGGAUUAGCUAGUUGGUGAGGUAAAGGCUCACCAAGGCGACGAUCCGUAGCUGGUCUGAGAGGAUGAUCAGCCACACUGGGACUGAGACACGGCCCAGACUCCUACGGGAGCAGCAGUGGGGAAUAUUGGACAAUGGGCGAAAGCCUGAUCCAGCAAUGCCGCGUGAGUGAUGAAGGCCUUAGGGUUGUAAAGCUCUUUUACCCGGGAUGAUAAUGACAGUACCGGAGAAUAAGCCCCGGCUAACUCCGUGCCAGCAGCCGCGGUAAU
rnacentral:rRNA from 1 species